GGGAAACUUGUCUUUGUUGUUCUCCUUUUUCCAUUUCAUCCUCCUGUUCUGGAACCAGAUUUUGACCUGCCUCUCUGUCAAUCCCAGGGCGUGCGAGACCUCGAUCCUCCGUUUGCGGGUCAGGCUGCUUCAUGAGCAAUAAAUGGAAUUUCCAGAGGGAAUCCCGGGAAUUUCGCUUGGAAAAAGAUGGAAUCGUGAGAGGGACGAGCUGGGACAGCGGGAUCUUGACCUGCCUCUCGCUGAGGUUGAGCAGCCGCGCCACCUCGUGCCGCCGCUCCCGGCUCAGGUACAUGUUGAACAGGAAUUCCUUCUCCAGCUCCA